GAAAAAAAAAAACUAAAUGACCUGCAUGAUUGCAUAGCAGCUUAAAGUUGUAGCAAAGGACAAUGACUUACUUCCUUCUUGAAAGAAACAACUGAGAUGGGCCAUUGAUUUCUUUUGUUCAUAGUUCUUUACAGACACUUUAUACAUUUUAUUCGAUACCCUAAAAUCUGACACCCCUGUAUAGAUGUGCAUUCCUCCAAAGUAUGAUGGGCAAUCAAGAAUCUGAGUACGCUGCUAGAAUAUCUUAUAUUAAAGAUUCAGUCAGCUAAAACUUCUACAGUUGUCAGAAGAGAUCAGCAUAUCCUACACAUAAAUUUAAAAGAAAAUUAAAAUAGGGGUAGAGAAACUACAAGAAAACAAAAACUUCUUUAUUUAAUGGUUAACGCAGCUGUAAAUAGCUUUUGCAUUGUGUAAUUAACAAUCCAGAGGUUAAAUCUCACAGUACAAACUUAUUCUUCUUUUAAAGAGAUUUCAUGUUCGAAUUUUGCUGAAAUUUGAAUGAAAAUGGUUGCAAAAAUAAGAACCUAUUAUACGGUUUAUAUCCCCAUAUAUCAUGAAAAGAAGGAUCAGACUGUACAAUUAAGCCGCAGAUCACUACGUCUCCCUCGAAAGCAUCCAAAACCCAUAACCUUCUCACUGUCAUUUUUCUUUCCAUGUUCAAGAAAAUCAAGAUCCUGAAACUUUAGGUGAGGUCACAGGAAAUAGAGGCAGCAAUUGGGGCUCUGAAUCUCUAGGAGUAGAUAUGGGCGAAGGAUGCAAGUAAAACCCUUUCUCUGCUAUUGCUCUCUCCUCUUCUGAUGAAGAAUUCCCUAAAGAUGGGGAGCUUUUGUUGAAAGGGUCUUCAUUAUUCAGUGGAGUCACUGGGCUAAGUGUCAGCUUAGGGAAGUCAAGCAAGCUUGGAGACAAGAUCUCCUGCUUGUUUCUUGGCGAAAAUCCUGUAACCGAGUUACUACUUGCAAAACUAGGCAACAAAGUGUUGAUCAUGAGACUGUUCUUAAGGUUGUUGUUUCUCCUUUCGUAAAGCUUGAAGCUAUUUUGUUGCUUCUUUGGCAUGCUUUUGAUAGGAGGUAUGAUGAAGUUUCGCGUAGAAGUAGUUGGUGAUGGUGGUGCUGCUGGAUCUUGAGCUGUUCUUGAAGAGGCUUGCUUUGCUGUUUCUGUUGAGCCAGUGAGCAUUUGAACUACUUGUUUGAAAGUAGAGGUGUCUGCUUGGACAAAGGUUGUUGGGUAAGGGUUAGCGUCAGAUCUGGAGAUGGGUAUUGAAGUGAGUGGUAGGGUGUGGAUUUGGACCCCAUUGUUGCUUCCAUUGUUUCGAGGAGAGUUUAUUGGAGACGGGUUUUUGCUUUCUUGAAGUCUUGUCAUAGUAUCCAUUGCCGGGUUCUUCUCUCUCUCUCUCCUCCCAAUUAGGCUCUCCUCCUUCUCCACCACCACCACCACCA
rnacentral:misc_RNA from 1 species